rnacentral:lncRNA from 1 species
UUUUUUAAUAUUUUAUUUAUUUAUAUUUUCAAUGACACUUAGCCUCUUAAAUGCAUUUGUGUUGAGGUUCAGCCAGGUCAUGAUAUGAAGUGUAAUCUGUGUCACAUGCUACCUGGUUCCCUGCUGCAGCACCUCCCUGUCUCUCUGGGUCCCUAUUCUGAGUUUGAAGCCCACACUAGAACCCACCUGAGAGUCAAACAUCUGAAACCUAGGCUUCUGAGGAAGUAGGGUUUCUCUUAGAAGAACCCACACUUUUUAUAGUGUAGCUGAUGAUCCUUAAGGAAAUGUUCUGUGAGAAGACGCAGUGUUGUGUCCUGAAGGCCCUAGUUGAGUGCUUUGCAUCAGUGCUAAUUCAAGGCUCCUGGCUUAGCUGAGCAAUCCAGGUGCUGAGGUCUGAGUCAACCUCCUGCAGUGGACACCUGGAGUCACAGGACACAGGAGAGAUUAAGUAUAUUGAGUGGUCCUUCCAUAUGAUGAAAGAGUGCACACUUACUAAAAGUUACUGACAGUGAAGACAGAGGGGCAGCGUAUCUAUGGUUUCACACCAGAAUCAAAGGAGUAAGUCUGGGUGUCUGUAAGGAGCCAUUUAGGAUAGGCUGAGGCUAGCAGGUGGCCUUCUUGGAGGUGGCCCGUGGUUUUCACAUGGUCUGCAAUGGGUGAGCUCUAUGAGGCAAGGACCCAAAGAGACUUCAUCUCAGGAUUGCUUCUUGCAGCUGCUAUGCCUUUCCUGCCAUUAGCCUGCCCCACUGAGCAGAUUUCCUGCAGAUGAACAUAGAGAUGAAUUAGUAGGAAUUAAUGCUGUUUAGAUGAAUUAAUGACUUUAUAGAAUUCUUGAUCUGCUUCAAAUAAUCUGAGGAAGAAGGUUUUAAGAGAUGGUUCUGGGGGCUGGAGAGAUGGCUCAGAGGUUAAGAGCACUAACUGCUCUUCCAGAGGUCCUGAGUUCAAUUCUCAGCAACCACAUGGUGGCUCACAACCAUCUGUAAUGUGAUCUGAUGCCCUCUUCUGGUGUCUCUGAAGAGAGCAAUGGUGUACUCAGAUACUUAAAUAAAUAAAUCUUAAAGAAAAAAAAAAAAGCUGGGCAGUGGUGGCACAUGCAUCCCAGCAUUUAAAAAAGAGAGAGAGAGAGAG